GAUGAACGCUGGCGGCGUGCUUAACACAUGCAAGUCGAACGGGAAACCUUUUAUUGAAGCUUCGGCAGAUUUAGCUGGUUUCUAGCGGCGGACGGGUGAGUAACGCGUGGGUAACCUGCCCUAUACAGGGGGAUAACAACCAGAAAUGGUUGCUAAUACCGCAUAAGCGCACAGGGCCGCAUGGUCCGGUGUGAAAAACUCCGGUGGUAUAGGAUGGACCCGCGUUGGAUUAGCCAGUUGGCAGGGUAACGGCCUACCAAAGCGACGAUCCAUAGCCGGCCUGAGAGGGUGAACGGCCACAUUGGGACUGAGACACGGCCCAGACUCCUACGGGAGGCAGCAGUGGGGAAUAUUGCACAAUGGGGGAAACCCUGAUGCAGCGACGCCGCGUGAAGGAAGAAGUAUCUCGGUAUGUAAACUUCUAUCAGCAGGGAAGAUAGUGACGGUACCUGACUAAGAAGCCCCGGCUAACUACGUG
rnacentral:rRNA from 1 species